CAUAUCCUCUUUGGCAGCUUUACGUUUUCUUGAACCUCUCCGAGCUGCUUAUACAACUGAUAUCUGAGCAGCACACAAAUCUUCAUUUGUGACCUUCAUAUACAGUCAACUGGGGCCAUGUGCCUUCAGCACUGCGUGAUUGAGGCUCCUUGUAAUUUCACUCUUCAGUGCUCCAUUGCAGGCUGGAAAAGAAAGCAAGCCUUGAUGUAAGGCCAUAGAAGAAAACAACACAAUCAGAUUCAUCAUUUUUUUUUCCCACUCUCAGGUUCAGGUUCAACUUGUCCAAACCUGUCCCCUCUUUGUUCUGGUCCGCAUGCAAAGAAAAGCCCUUGCUAGUGGGUGCAUACAGUGACUCUCUCAAACAGGGUUAAGUUAGUAUACAGGAGUUCCAUGGGAUCCCUUACACCUGGGCCUGAUUCUGCCACCUGGGGUGACACCACAGUGGGUACAUAGCUGAACAGCAUUUGUUGGCUUACUGUGUGUUAGUAAGGGUGGCAGAAGAAUGGAGGCACAGUAGGUAGCACUGAUGGAGAAUUUAGGAUUUUGUUGGUUUUUUUGUUUUUUUUUUUUUUUCCCCAGAUGUGGUUUCUUAAGAACUGUUACUGGAAAAACUUUAGAUUUAACAAAUCAAAAUUAAAAAAACAAACAAACCCAUCCAAACCCAAAAAGUAAGGAAAUAGGGUUUGUUUUUGUUUUGUUUUUUUUUAAAUUGCAUCUAAUUGAUAAUCUGACUGCUUUGGAGAAAAAUACGUUUUAAUGUGAAAAUAUCUGUUUUGGUCGGAAUAAAUAUUUUCCACUGGAGUAAAGACAGAUGGAAUAUUUUCGCCCAUUCCUGCAGCAGUGUCUCACUCCUGACUGCGUGUAGCUAGUUUGGAGGAAUAAGCUUCUUUAAGGGUUCAGACUAUUAAAAACAUCUGCUUUCCCAUGUAUCCUGAAACACUGCAAUAUUUGCAAAUGGAGAACAUGUAUCAUGUUUGUCCUAGCCACCAUAAAACAUCGGCUCCACAGUUUAAAUUGUGGGAUUUUAAUUAUGGUGUGGAUAUAUUAUUCAGUCCUAUGUAAUGCACUUCUCGUUAUGGUGCUGUGAUCUCUUUUCCUUGGUUGGAACUGGGCCAGUUGACCAUAUUUGCAGUGUGUGGCCAAACAUCAAAUGCAUCCGAAUAAGCAAAGUAAUCACUUCCAGACUAAACACAAUUCAAAUUUGUUUAAAAUAUUGAACAAGCUUCAUCACUGGGAGAUGUCUCUCUGUGACAUCAAGCCCCUAUGAUGUGUCACUGCUAGUGCCAAUCGCUUUUUCUCGUGUUUAGGUCUAAAAGCACUGGGUUCCCUGAACUCCACUGAAAUCUUCCUUUGACUGCGGUAACUCCUGGCUGAGCACCAGUCUCUGUUUUACAUCUGAGCAUCUCCAAGAAUUAACAGCUACGUCUUCAGUGGCCCCUGUGGAACAAAGAGUUGUAACAGUUCUCCUUCUCUUUCAUAUGGGAAAGCUGGAUUGUGAACAGACAAUAAUCCUCAUCUGUUUAGCUUGGAAUAUCUUGGGGGAAGCUGGUGACAGUACUAGAGGAAAGCAGAGAUUUGGCAUUAGCUGAGUUCACUGCAAGGCCCUUAUUUUUCUAGCAAAACUGUUUGCUGGUGGUCAGGGAGAAAGGGAAGCAAAGGUGCUUCAGAUCUCAGCUGUGCUGGAAGAGCAAGUAGAGCCUAUGCAUGUGUGUGACUUUUAUUCCUUCCUACUUGCACACACUUUAACAGUUAGGAAUUUUUUAGGCUUUUUUUCUGUUUUAUUGUUUAGUCCUGAUGCUGUCCUGACAGCAUGCUCUUCGCUUCUUCUUGCUUUCUUUGCCUUUUAAUUUAAUUCACCAAGGCACUGAGGUAGAAGUCUGUAUGUUUAUAUUGCAUUUUGAAGACAGAGCAGCGAGCACUUUAUCUGAAUGGCAACAUAUUCUACAUGCAUUCAGGUGCUGUUCUAAGCGUGUCUCAUCCUGUUAUGUGUGGUACCAAAGGCAGUGAGGAUGUCCAGUGCUUGCAGAGCCACUUGUAAGUGGUCCCACAGCAAGAGGGCAGCAGUGCUGCUGUAGAUGCUGGCCAGGAGAUGUGAUGCUUGGCUAAAGCUCUGCUUGUGUUACAGAAUAAGGGUAGGACAGUACAGCCCUCCUGCCUACAUAUAUGCUCUUUUGCUAAUUUGGCUGUUUUCUUGCUGGCUACGUUUCUGUGGUUGUGGAAAGAGUUUAUAAUGCAUCUGUGGUCCUUAAAAAUUCUCUGGCUCCCUAUUUCUCUGAAGUGAAGGGUGCUAUUAAAUAUAGCCUCCCACCAAAUUCCAGUGACUAAUCACACGCAGACCAUAGUUCCAAACUAGCCAUGACUCAGACACCAACGACCCUCUGAGUAACGCUGCAGGAAGAGCUAAAACACUCCUUCCCUGGUCUAGCACAGGCAAUGGGAAUGCUGAAUAAGAGCAGAUCAAAUAACAGGGCUGGUUCCUAAGCCAAAAAAAAAAAGGGCGUCUGCAGCCACUAGGUAUUGCUCAAUGUUAACACUGAGCUUUCACAUGGCCACAGCUGAAGCGUGGUGAAGAAGCUGAACACAGAUGAUGCAAAGGGCUGAGGCAGACUCACUUUCUCUGAGCAGAGGUGACAGGAGAAGUCUUCAUCGAGAAGCUUUGCUUUGAGUUUAACAAGACAUUUAGGCAGGGCAGAGGGGAGGCCUUGGUCCCAGUGACACCAUUUAUGUUUAAAGUUAGGUGUAAGUUUGAGCAUCCUGCUGGUAUCGUGCUUUGGAUGAGAGUUAAAGGAUCAGUUCCUGAACAAGCUUAUUCCCACCUAGAGAUGCAGUUUUCAUCUUAGACUUCUUAAGUUCUUUACAACUGAACUCUGCCUUCCUGUUUCAAAAUCAUUUUUCUUGAAUAGCAACGUGGUCUAUCGUUUCAACCUGCUCCUGUAAUGCUUGUGCUUGCUGCAAUUAUUUUUGUACGCUCCAAAGUGUCAUUUUUUUUUUCUCUAAUUGUACCUAAAUAGUAAAUGACACAUUGAAGAACAUGACACAUGAUUGUUUCAAAAUUGUUUGAAUACAAGAAUGAAGAUAGAGAGUCUGUGGCAAGUUGCUGUGUUUAUGAAUAAAUGGGCUCAAAUAAAUUAGCUUCCCAAAGCAAGUGCAGCCACUAAAAAGUCCUUCUAAAUGUUUCUGGCUUUUCUGAACACAUUCUUACCAGUAUGUUCAGUUAGAAAAAUGCUUUUAUAUCUACUGAGAAAUGUCUAUUCUGAUUUUUCAGAACCCGAAGUUCUGAAACUUAAAACAAAAAAGUGCCACUGUUUAUAUUCCAAGAGCAUUCAAGAUUUUCUUUAAGAAGUUGCUUUCCUCAAAGUUUUUGUUUUGUUAAGAAGAGGGUGUUCAGAGCUAAGGCUGGAUACACAGUUUUGUCAUGUUUAUGAAGUCUUGAAAGCAUCUGGAUACAGUAUGGAAACCUCAACCAAAAACUUCUUCAAGUCUCUUUUUAAUAUAAUCAUCUGGGCUUACUCCAUUAAACUAUGUAUUUAUUGGAUUUGUAUGGAAGAUGAGGUAAGAAUCAAACUGAUAUUGUUGAAUUUAAGGGUGUUGCUAAGAUUAUAUCACUUUGAGGAUGUUAAAUUGUGCAUGUUAAUAGUAUGCACUUUCAGUGCCUAAUUGCUACUUCUACAAUUGAUUCACAACCAUCACAGGUGUCAAACGUAUCAACUAGAGAGCAAUGUCUGUUCAGUGUACACUUAAACCAACAUUGUGGCAUGUCCUUUUCUUAAGUAUCAUGGAGCAAAGAAAGAAAGUAAACAUCGUGCAUGUCCCCGAGUUUGCAACACAUAACUCGUUUGACAUCAUUGGCAUCAGUUGCUUAAUUACCAAGUGGGAAUGUUUGUAAAAUGAAAUACAAAGUUUCUGUCUUUACCUUUACCCUGUCUUUGUCUCCUAUAAAAUUAUCAAUGAUGUUUUAACUGUUCUUCUUAGUCUGUUAUAAUACUGUUACUUGCAGAUGUGAUGAUAUCCACCCUGAUAAGAAGAGCUGUAUUAGAUGGGCCCAAGGGUCCAUCUUGCCCAGCAUCAUGUCUACAGCAGUGACUGUGAGUGGAUGGCUGAGAAAGAUGAAGCUCAAUGUUGGUAUAUAUGAUAUUUCCCCCUUACACUGUCCCACUCUACAGCAAUUUUCAAUCCAGGUUCUAACAUGCUUUUUUACUAUGUCUCUGCCUUAAAAUUUUUGAGAUUUCACAGAUACACCUACAAGAAUGUGUAUUUCCAGGCUGAGCAGAAGAGUUCAAUUAAGCUUCUGAUUAGCAUGACUUUGAGUUUUUCUAUUUAGCAGGGUUGGAGCUGCUUAGUCUGUAAUGGGAAUUACACGUCUGCCAAAAGAAGCUGGAAAAGGAAGAAGAAAUGCAGACAGAAAUAUACUGGAGUGUGACCAUUGUUGACUGUGAAUUUGUUCUUCCUGUUGGGAAGUCUUCUGCCAUCUGCCCGUGCUGACACCUCAUGUUCCCUGCACACACAGACCCUUCACUGGAUAGCGAGACUGAUAGCAACAAAAUGGUGCCAGCUUACACCAAAUUAUCUUUGGUUCUAUGGGCGCUCAGCUAUCUGAAUGAGAGGACUCACCGCUUUGGAAUUAAAGCUGGGAAAUGCUUUUGGAAAAACAGAAGAUGUGCUGGAUGAGGAUAGUGUUGUCCCUCUGGCCUGGCAGGUCACAAUUGAAUUAACCAUGAGAUAUUUAACAGUAAAGUGGAGGAGAAAGCCGAAAAAGUAGGAGAGUAACUGCUUGAAAACUGCUGGAAUAAAGAAACCGAGGCCAAGGCUUGAGGCAUCCUGCUUGAAAUGUAACAUAGAGAGGAGAUGCAACAGGCAGGUGGGGAAAACUGGCUGUGAAACAGGCCUCCCAAAUACAUCCUUACACUGCUUCCACCGUGGCUCAGAGCAGUGGCAACAGUAUUUUGAUUGCACUGUUGUAAUUAAGGCUAAUCAACACCAAAUGGUGUUUUGCCUGUAGUACAGUUUUUCUGUAUCAUGUUUGUAGUAGUCUUCUCAUAAAUAUUCCUGGAAAAGUUUUGGUUUUCUCCCAAAUGAGAAUGGGGGAAGAGAAUGGCACUCAUAAGAGCAA